rnacentral:tRNA from 1 species
GGCGUAGUGGAUAGAGCACUGGCCUGGGAGUCAGAAGGUCUGGGUUCUAAUCCCAGCUCUGCCA